rnacentral:rRNA from 1 species
AUUGAACGCUGGCGGCAGGCCUAACACAUGCAAGUCGAGCGGCUGAAGGGAGCUUGCUUCUGGAUUCAGCGGCGGGCGGGUGAGUAAUGCCUAGGAAUCUGCCUGGCAGUGGGGGAUAAGGUCCGGAAACGGGCGCUAAUACCGUAUACGCCCUGAGGGAGAAAGUGGGGGAUCUUCGGACCUCACGCUAUUAGACGAGCCUAGGUCGGAUUAGCUAGUUGGUGGGGUAAAGGCCUACCAAGGCGACGAUCCGUAACUGGUCUGAGAGGAUGAUCAGUCACACUGGAACUGAGACACGGUCCAGACUCCUACGGGAGGCAGCAGUGGGGAAUAUUGGACAAUGGGCGAAAGCCUGAUCCAGCCAUGCCGCGUGUGUGAAGAAGGUCUUCGGAUUGUAAAGCACUUUAAGUUGGAAGGAAAGGCAGUAAGUUAAUACCUUGCUGUUUUGACGUUACCAACAGAAUAAGCACCGGCUAACUUCGUG